rnacentral:rRNA from 1 species
AAUGAACGCUGGCGGCAGGCCUAACACAUGCAAGUCGAGCGCCCCGCAAGGGGAGCGGCAGACGGGUGAGUAACGCGUGGGAACGUACCUUUUGGUUCGGAACAACUCCGGGAAACUGGAGUUAAUACCGGAUAAGCCCUAACGGGGAAAGAUUUAUCGCCGAAAGAUCGGCUCGCGUCUGAUUAGCUAGUUGGUGAGGUAACGGCUCACCAAGGCGACGAUCAGUAGCUGGUCUGAGAGGAUGAUCAGACACACUGGGGCUGAGACACGGCCCGGACUCCUACGGGAGGCGGCAGUGGGGGAUAUUGGACAAUGGGCGGAAGCAUGAUCCAGCCAUGCCGCGUGAGUGAUGAAGGCCUUAGGGUUGUAAAGCUCUUUUGUCCGGGAAGAUAAUGACUGUACCGGAAGAAUAAGCCCCGGCUAACUUCGUG